AUUGAACACUGGCGGCAGACCUAACACAUGCAAGUCGAGCGGAUGAAGGGAGCUUGCUCCUGGAUUCAGCGGCGGACGGAUGAGUAAUGCCUAGGAAUCUGCCUGGUAGUGGGGGAUAACGUCCGGAAACGGGAGCUAAUACCGCAUACGUCCUGAGGGAGAAAGUGAGGGUUCUUCGGACCUCACGCUAUCAGAUGAGCCUAGGUCGGAUUAGCUAGUUGGUGGGGUAAAGGCCUACCAAGGCGACGAUCCGUAACUGGUCUGAGAGGAUGAUCAGUCACACUGGAACUGAGACACGUGCCAGACUCCUACGGGAGGCAGCAGUGGGGAAUAUUGGACAAUGGGCGAAAGCCUGAUCCAGCCAUGCCGCGUGUGUGAAGAAGGUCUCCGGAUCGUAAAGCACGUUAAGCUGGGAGUAAUCUAAGUAAGUUAACAGCUUGCUGCCUUGAUGUUCCCAACAGAACAAGCACCGCCUAACCUCGUG
rnacentral:rRNA from 1 species